rnacentral:rRNA from 1 species
CGCUGAGUUUGAUCCUGGCUCAGGAUGAACGCUAGCGGCAGGCUUAACACAUGCAAGUCGAGGGGUAUAGUUCUUCGGAACUAGAGACCGGCGCACGGGUGCGUAACGCGUAUGCAAUCUACCUUAUACAGAGGGAUAGCCCAGAGAAAUUUGGAUUAAUACCUCAUAGUAUGUGAGAAUCGCAUGGUUUUCAUAUUAAAGUUCCAACGGUAAAAGAUGAGCAUGCGUCCCAUUAGCUAGAUGGUAAGGUAACGGCUUACCAUGGCGACG